AUUUAUGCAUUUUGAGUUAAAAGGUGAUUUAUGAUAUAAAUUUUUUAUGCAUGUUGAAUUGUUGUAGAAAAGAUGAAAAUGAAGUUGAAGAGAAAAAAGUCCAACAAGCCCGGAUCUGAAGCACCUAAACCCAUACCAAGUCAAACCCAUUCCGAGCCCUCCAAAACGAUGUCGUUUUGAAGAGUGAAAAAAAUCGUAGAAUAAGAAGAUCGGGUGGAAGGGAAAAAAGAGGCUAGAAAGAAAAGAUAAUAGGUGUGCACAAGAAAACCCUCUCUU
rnacentral:lncRNA from 1 species